AAUUUUCAACCCAGGGCUGAGUUCAACCCCGGGGUUGAAAUUUCAACCCUGCUUCAGCUAGCAGGGUUGAAAUUUCCACCCCGGGGUUGAACUCAGCCCUGGGUUGAAAA
rnacentral:miRNA from 1 species